rnacentral:rRNA from 1 species
UACGUAGGGUCCGAGCGUUGUCCGGAAUUACUGGGCGUAAAGAGCUCGUAGGUGGUUUGUCGCGUUGUUCGUGAAAACUCACAGCUUAACUGUGGGCGUGCGGGCGAUACGGGCAGACUUGAGUACUGCAGGGGAGACUGGAAUUCCUGGUGUAGCGGUGGAAUGCGCAGAUAUCAGGAGGAACACCGGUGGCGAAGGCGGGUCUCUGGGCCGUUACUGACGCUGAGGAGCGAAAGCGUGGGUAGCAAACAGG